rnacentral:rRNA from 1 species
UGCCUAACACAUGCAAGUCUGGGUUAACAAAGUAGCAAUAUUUUGUUGAACCGGCGCACGGGUGAGUAACAUAUAGGCAACCUACCUUUUGAUGGGGAAUAACUUCGCGAAAGCGAGGCUAAUACCGAAUAUUUCAAUUUUUCGCAUGAUUAAAUUAUUAAAGCCUUCGGGCGUCAAAAGAUGGGCCUUUAUCCCAUUAGAUAGUUGGUAAGGUAAUGGCUUACCAAGUCCCCGGAUGGGUAGCUGAUGUGAGAGGAUGAUCAGCCACACUGGAACUGAGACACGGUCCAGACUCGUACGGGAGGCAGCAGUGAGGAAUAAUGGGCAACGCCCGAAAGGGUGCCGCAGCGACGCCGCGUGAAGGAUGAAGACCCUAUGGGUUGUUACUUC